UAGGUAACCUGCCCAUGUGUCCGGGAUAACUGCUGGAAACGGUAGCUAAAACCGGAUAGGUAUACAGAGCGCAUGCUCAGUAUAUUAAAGCGCCCAUCAAGGCGUGAACAUGGAUGGACCUGCGGCGCAUUAGCUAGUUGGUGAGGUAACGGCCCACCAAGGCGAUGAUGCGUAGCCGGCCUGAGAGGGUAAACGGCCACAUUGGGACUGAGACACGGCCCAA
rnacentral:rRNA from 1 species